AUUGAACGCUGGCGGCAUGCUUUACACAUGCAAGUCGAACGGUAACAGGGUGCUUGCACCGCUGACGAGUGGCGAACGGGUGAGUAAUGCGUCGGAACGUGCCGAGUAGUGGGGGAUAACGCAGCGAAAGUUGUGCUAAUACCGCAUACGUACUGAGGUAGAAAGUGGGGGACCUUCGGGCCUCACGCUAUUCGAGCGGCCGACGUCUGAUUAGCUAGUAGGUGAGGUAAAGGCUCACCUAGGCGACGAUCAGUAGCGGGUCUGAGAGGAUGAACCGCCACACUGGGACUGAGACACGGCCCAGACUCCUACGGGAGGCAGCAGUGGGGAAUUUUGGACAAUGGGCGAAAGCCUGAUCCAGCCAUGCCGCGUGUCUGAAGAAGGCCUUCGGGUUGUAAAGGACUUUUGUCGGGGAGGAAAUCCCCAGCGCUAAUACCGCUGGGGGAUGACAGUACCUGAAGAAUAAGCACCGGCUAACUACGUGCCAGCCGCCGCCGUAACAC
rnacentral:rRNA from 1 species